GAACUACUCUCUCCGUCCCGAAUUAGAUGACUCAGAUUUGUCUAGAUACGGAUGUAUCUAGACAAGUUUUAGUGUUUGAUACAUCCGUAUCUACACUAAUCUAAGUCAACUAAUUUGGGACAGAGGUUGUACAUG
rfam:Triticum aestivum genome assembly, contig: Triticum_aestivum_CS42_TGACv1_scaffold_113521_2AS